UCGAUGUCUGUCUUUGAGUUUUGAUGUGAGAAAUCGAUGUUAAUCUCCUGGUGUCAACUGUUAUUAAAAUCGACUGAGAUGGUUUAAAAUCAAUGAUGUCGGUAUCACAAAUUGAAGAAUGGAUUGUUGAUUGUUAUCUACUCAGAAGUGAUACCGAUUUUAGUGUUCGAAGAUCUAAGAUUUGAAGUCAGGGAGUCGAUGUUUGAAGACGUAAUUUGAUUUUCGAUUUGGGUGACGAACAAUUCUGUUGAUUGAACUUCGUUUUGAGUCAAACGAAGGCCGAUUGAUGAGUUUGGAUUGAUUUCGAAGGGUCAAGUUUGAUUCGUUGUUAAUGAGUGAUUCUUGAUUUGGGAUCGAUGGUUUCAAUGAAUGAACAGUGGGUACAGAUUAUAUACGAAGUAUCGAGUUUCAAAGUCGUUAAUUUUGGAUUUGGUUUGUGUAUUAAACGCGAAGGCAAGUUAAUUGAAGAAUUUGAUUAUGGAAUCGAUUUCAAAGGUUUUGAUAAUUUUGGGGUUGAUCGAUUCGAAGGGUACAUGCUUUGGGUUUGGGAAGAUCAGUAAGAAACGAAGACUGUAAGAACGAGAAUUUGAUUUUGGAGAUCUUGAGGUCAAGAAACGAAGGGUCUAUGAAUGGAUUGCAAAAAGCGAAGGGUAAUAGAUGAAUGAAAAAAACGAAGAACUGGAACUGGGUUAACAUUCGAAGGGUAUCCUGUUCAUUACUGUUCACAGUCAACUCUUCGUAUCCUUCGUAUGUUUUGUCAAAUAGUCUUGGUAUGGAUUGAAAAGAAAGAAAAGAGAAUUUUCGAAACCGGUCCUUAUGGCUUCGUAUGAUUGGCAAAAUCAUUCGUAUGAAUUGAAAGAAAGCACCAAGUUUCGAAUAGGGCCCUGAAACCUUCGAAUUUUUGUCACUUCGCAAAUUAACUCAAGUUUCGAAUAUUUGACAUUUUUCACCCAAAUUCGAAAAUUUUUGGAAGCUUCAAAUAUUUGUGGAAUCUUUGUAUGAAUUGCGAACAAAGAGCAGAAUUUCAAAAAUGGUCCCUGAGACUUCGAAUUUUUGGCAAUUUUCACCCAAAUUCGAAAAAGGACUAUUUUUUGCUGAAAAUUGAAGAAAGUGCAUUUCAGGCCCCUGCAGUUUGUGCAAAUUGACGCUUUCUACCUAGCUUUGGAAAAGGGGGAGAGUUUUGCAUAUUUUGUUGUUUUGGGCGCAACGGGUCACUGCAGAAUUUUGAAACUGACAAUUUCUACCCAUUUUUGAGAAAUUUUGUCAAAGGCGAUCCGUGAACGAAAUUAAAAAUUGAUUAUUUUUUGGAUUUUCCGGGUUGAAACACAAAGUUUAUGCCACAUGAUAAGGGGGAGUUUUGACACGAAAAAAUCCGAAUAGAGCACGUUCUUUUUCCUUUGGAGUUUUAUAAUCAUUUUUUGAUUAUAAAAAGGGGGAGAAGUUUUAUAUGGAAAUUCGAACUUGAAUUUUUCAUAUUACGUGGAUUUGAAGACCGAAGUGAUCUUGAAGUUUUGAAGCCACGAGAUGAUGCAAUUGGAAGUUCGGAAGUGAUGUAUUCGAAAUGGGUUUGGUUUUAUUGAAGAUUUUUGGGGUGUGUUUUUAUGCGCAACUUUUGGGUGAUUAUUUGGAGUUUGGAAUACUCUUGAUCAUUCGUUGCUGCUCGGAUUGUAUGGUCUCACAUCCUAGAGCCCAAAUUGAAGAAUCAUGGAAGAAUUGAAAAUUGAAGUUCGUUUCGACAUGUGUCACCUUNGGGUCGAAUACAUACCAAUAAUAGUUAUGGGCUUAGACACCUAAUCCAACAGUCUCCCACUUGGAUAAGUGUUGGGGUGCAAAGUUCUUUAUUCAUGACUUUGUAAAUGUUUGACUUUUGUAAAACCCACUUGCAUGUGGUGCUUUAGCCUUUAGACCCAUUUGUUUGUUAGAGUGAGAGAGAGACAUGUAAACACCUCUAUAUAAGGUGGGUUUGUCCACUUGUAGAGGUGUGCUUGAGAGAUGUAAAAGUGAGUGUGUAAGUGUGUGUUAUUUAUGUAGUCUAGAUCUAGAUCCUUUUUAUAACACCAUAUACAAUCAAUACACCUCUUAAACACCCAAAUCACCAUGUUCAAUUGUGCAAGCUUUAAUUCUGCAUGCCUAACCAUGUUCUUUGUCACUACAAUUGGUAUCAGAGCGGGUCUUCAAGAUCAAGGUGAUAUUUGAAGAACGAUUCUCGAUUUGGAAACAUCUGUCGCAAUUUGAACAAUUUUGGUGAGUCUCUCUCUAUGAUCUCUCUUAAUUUCAUUGAAUCGUGCGUUGCAUUUAUUUUUGAUCGUUUUGUCUCGGAUUGGAUCGAAUUUGUUUCAAGCCCAAUUGCAGAUCCAAUUCACUUUCUUUUAUAGAUCAAAUCCAAAUAAAUAGCAAAAUCAUAUUCCAAAAAUUAUGUGUCCUUACUGUUUAUGAUCAAUAUUGAACUUUAAUAUCCAUUGAAAAAGCCCAAAUCUGAAUCUUAAUAUAACUGUUUGUUGAGCCCACUUCAAAACUUCAAUACUGUUCAUCUAUCUAGAUCAAUUUGUAUUACUUGAAGUGAGAUAUUUGAUAUUAUUGAGAAUCAACAAUCCAAUCAAGAGCGGUCAACAUUAAAGUCAAAGUCGAUAAAAUCGAAACUCGAUUUGCAUUUAAAUCGACAUUUACUUUAUAAAUUGUUGAUUAAAUACAAGUCGUAAUUGGCUUUUGAGUUUGUUAGACAUUGGUUGAAAUUGAUUUCGAUUUUGGAUGAUCAGUUCGCUUUAAUCAUCUGAAGAACUCAUAUUAGAUUGAUAUAUAAUUUCCAAUUUUGAUUUUCAAGUAUUGUUUGGUGUGUCGAUGUCUGUCUUUGAGUUUUGAUGUGAGAAAUCGAUGUUAAUCUCUUGGUGUCAACUGUUAUUAAAAUCGACUGAGAUGGUUUAAAAUCAAUGAUGUCGGUAUCACAAAUUGAAGAAUGGAUUGUUGAUUGUUAUCUACUCAGAAGUGAUACCGAUUUUAGUGUUCGAAGAUCUAAGAUUUGAAGUCAGGGAGUCGAUGUUUGAAGACGUAAUUUGAUUUUCGAUUUGGGUGACGAACAAUUCUGUUGAUUGAACUUCGUUUUGAGUCAAACGAAGGCCGAUUGAUGAGUUUGGAUUGAUUUCGAAGGGUCAAGUUUGAUUCGUUGUUAAUGAGUGAUUCUUGAUUUGGGAUCGAUGGUUUCAAUGGAUGAACAGUGGGUACAGAUUAUAUACGAAGUAUCGAGUUUCAAAGUCGUUAAUUUUGGAUUAUGUUUGUGUAUUAAACGCGAAGGCAAGUUAAUUGAAGAAUUUGAUUAUGGAAUCGAUUUCAAAGGUUUUGAUAAUUUUGGGGUUGAUCGAUUCGAAGGGUACAUGCUUUGGGUUUGGGAAGAUCAGUAAGAAACGAAGACUGUAAGAACG
rnacentral:lncRNA from 1 species